rnacentral:siRNA from 1 species
UAUGUUUCAGUCUUAUCCC